AUGGCAUCACUAUUUUUAGUACAUGUCCAGCAAGACAAUGUAUUAAGGACUAAUACGAUCAUCACUCAACAGGCAUUGCAAUUUAAAACGAUAAGAUCUACUAUCUUGACCGUACAUAACAGAAAAGCUCUAGCAUUUCCCUCCAGUUCUACUACUUCUUGCUCAUCAAGCUUCUUGUUCUGGGAGAGACCACACCAAGAAAACACGAUUGAGUUGAGCACAGACAAGUACAGAUGCAUGAUCAAGAACAGAGUUAAAUUUAUCUUGUGUAGAAAUUCUCUCAAUUGUCAGAAAGGGGAGACUUUGAUAAAAACUUCUUCUAUCCAUCUGUAG
rnacentral:rRNA from 1 species